rnacentral:rRNA from 1 species
UAGUGACAAGAAAUAACAAUACAGGACUUUUUGGUUUUGUAAUUGGAAUGAGUUAAGUAUAAACCCCUUUACAAGUAUCAAUUGGAGGGCAAGUCUGGUGCCAGCAGCCGCGGUAAUUCCAGCUCCAAUAGCGUAUAUUAAAGUUGUUGCAGUUAAAAAGCUCGUAGUUGGAUUUCUGUUAAUAAUUUAUAUAAAAUAUUUUGAUGAAUAUUUAUAUAAUAUUAACAUAAUUCAUAUUACUAUAUAUUUUAGUAUAUGAAAUUUUACUUUGAGAAAAUUAGAGUGCUUAAAGCAGG